GUCUACGGCCAUACCACGUUGAAAGCACCAGUUCACUGAAGUUAAGCAACGUCGGGCUAGGUUAGUACUUGAUGGGUGACCGUCUUGGGAACACCGAGCGCUGUAGACU
rnacentral:rRNA from 1 species